AAUGAACGUUGGCGGCGUGGAUUAGGCAUGCAAGUCGAGCGAGAACCCGCAAGGGGGACAGCGGCAAACGGGGUAGUAAUGUGUCGGAACGUGCCCUCUGGACGGGGAUAGCGGCGGGAAACUGCCGGUAAUACCCGAUGAACUCGAGAGAGCAAAGAUGUGAUUCCGCCGGAGGAGCGGCCGACAUGGUAUUAGCUAGUUGGCGGGGUAACGGCCCACCAAGGCUGUGAUGCCUAGGGGAUGUGAGAGCAUGAUCCCCACCAUUGGGACUGAGACACUGCCCAGACACCUACGGGUGGCUGCAGUCGAGAAUCUUCGUCAAUGGGCGAAAGCCUGAACGAGCGACGCCGCGUGCGGGAUGAAGGCCCUUGGGUUGUAAACCGCUGUCGAGGGGGAUGAAGGCAUUCAGGUACUCCUGAAUGUUUGACAGAGCCCUGGAGGAAGCACGGGCUAAGUUCGUGCCAGCCGCCGCCGUAACAC
rnacentral:rRNA from 1 species